UAAAAAAAAAAAAGAAAACUUCAAAUACAACUCCUGUGGUUUCGCAUUUUUUUACUUUAGCAUCAUGUGGUUUAAAAUGUAUCAAUUUAGUAUCCUGUGAUUUUGCACUUUCUCACUUUAGUACCCUGUGGUUUAAAGUGCAUCAAUUUAGUAUCCUAUGGUUUCAUUUUUCUCUUUUUGUCGGCUCCUUAGUUAAUAUUUCGUUAAAUUAUAUACCAAAAACUUCAAAUACCCUGCCUAGAUUUAUCAAAUAUUUACUUUAGUACCCAUUAGUUUUAACUUUGUCACUGAUUUUUUUUCCUCCGUUAAUAUUUCGUUAAAUUAUAUACAAAAAAACUUCAGAUGCCCUAACUAGGUUUAUCGAAUAUUCACUUAAUACCCUUUAAUUUUAACUUUGUCACUUAUUUAAUGAAAAAAUUAGUGAAAUGGAUAAUAAAAAGAGAAAAAUAAAAUUACAUGAUACUAAAUUGAUACACUUUAAAACAUAAGGUACUAAAAUGAGAAAGUGUGAAACUACAAAGAUAGUAUUUAAAAUUUUUCC
rnacentral:lncRNA from 1 species